rnacentral:rRNA from 1 species
GUGGGGAAUUUUGGACAAUGGGCGCAAGCCUGAUCCAGCCAUGCCGCGUGUCUGAAGAAGGCCUUCGGGUUGUAAAGGACUUUUGUCAGGGAAGAAAAGGCUGUUGCUAAUAUCGACAGCUGAUGACGGUACCUGAAGAAUAAGCACCGGCUAACUACGUGCCAGCAGCCGCGGUAAUACGUAGGGUGCGAGCGUUAAUCGGAAUUACUGGGCGUAAAGCGAGCGCAGACGGUUACUUAAGCAGGAUGUGAAAUCCCCGGGCUCAACCUGGGAACUGCGUUCUGAACUGGGUGACUAGAGUGUGUCAGAGGGAGGUAGAAUUCCACGUGUAGCAGUGAAAUGCGUAGAGAUGUGGAGGAAUACCGAUGGCGAAGGCAGCCUCCUGGGAUAACACUGACGUUCAUGCUCGAAAGCGUGGGUAGCAAACAGGAUUAGAUACCCUGGUAGUCCACGCCCUAAACGAUGUCAAUUAGCUGUUGGGCAACUUGAUUGCUUUAGUAGCGUAGCUNACGCGUGAAAUUGACCGCCUGGGGAGUACGGUCGCAAAGAUUA